GACGAACGCUGGCGGCGUGCUUAACACAUGCAAGUCGAACGGAAAGGCCCUGCUUUUGUGGGGUGCUCGAGUGGCGAACGGGUGAGUAACACGUGAGUAACCUGCCCUUGCCUUUGGGAUAACUUCAGGAAACUGGGGCUAAUACCGGAUAGGAGCUCCUGCUGCAUGGUGGGGGUUGGAAAGUUUCGGCGGUUGGGGAUGGACUCGCGGCUUAUCAGCUUGUUGGUGGGGUAGUGGCUUACCAAGGCUUUGACGGGUAGCCGGCCCGAGAGGGUGACCGGCCACAUUGGGACUGAGAUACGGCCCAGACUCCUACGGGAGGCAGCAGUGGGGAAUAUUGCACAAUGGGCGGAAGCCUGAUGCAGCAACGCCGCGUGCGGGAUGACGGCCUUCGGGUUGUAAACCGCUUUCGCCUGUGACGAAGCGUGAGUGACGGUAAUGGGUAAAGAAGCACCGGCUAACUACGUG
rnacentral:rRNA from 1 species